AGGAUGAGUGUUCACUGACCCACCUGAGCCUGGCAGCAAACGGGUUGACGGACAGCAGUAUAGCCACCUUGGCCAGGUGCCUGCCUUCAUGUCCGACUCUGGUGAGUCUGAACCUGUCAGGAAAUCCGUCUGUUACCUCAGCAGCACUUCACAACAUCCUGAUCUCACUCCGAGAGGCUUGUCGACCUCUGACCCUUCUAAACCUUCAAGGUUGCGAGGUGUCCGGCCCCUGGGACAGUGCCGGUCUGGAUGGCUUGUCGGAGCUGGUCAAGGACCUCCGUCUUUGCUCUCAGGGACUCAACAAGCUGGACCGGCAGGCCUUAAAGCAGAGCUGGGACACAAGUCGGCCCCGUGGACACUUCAUUGACCGAAACAGCAAGUGUCUGCUCUCUGCUGGCUCCUCCACAUGAAGAGGGGAAAAGUGAAAUGUGUCGGAGACACAAUGGCAGAUCGUUAAUCGCGGACACUGGAUUUUUUGAGCCGUCUGAAAACAUGAACACACAACUUGUAUGAUAAGGGUGCUAUUCCUUAGAGGGUCUGCUCUGUUAGCAGUGAUCGCUUGAGGCUGCGCACUUAAAUCUUCGAAAGGAGCAAACUGCCAGUGACAUGGCAUCCACGGACAUUCUGUGUGACUGCUUUAUGUGUUUCUAUUUUGUACUCCUUAUUUAUGUGUGUCCGUCAAAGUCUUAAGUUUGUUAUGUUGGCAGCAGUGUGUUUGUGUCGUAACGCACCCACUGGAUACCGGAUUGUAUGAUUUAAUAUAAAAAAACAAUUAAAGUGACUCAUGAGGCUUUUGUCCAUUUUUCAUCUCCAUGAAGGGAUUCUUUCUGGUUUAUAUACACAAAGAAAGGUGAGGAUGAUCUGCUGUUUGAUGAGGCUAAUGAGCGGUGAUAGGAC